AUAUUUCUUUAAUAUAUUUUUUUUGAAAAAAGUCCAAUUUCUUCUUGGAGUUUCACAAAUAAAACAAUAUGACAUUUUUCUUUACUAGUUUUUAAUUAUAUCAAUCUGGGAAAUAUAAUUUGAUGCAAUGGAAAUAAAUAUUCAGAUGGAUUUGAAGAACCAAGUAUAAUAUUUCACAUUAUGAUUAAGACUAACAGUUAAUUGAAAUUAUACUUUAAUGUAAUAUUAUAUCAAGUCUGGCAUGAAUAUUGAGAAAUAAUAAAUUAUUACAUUGAUGUAAUAGUCCUCUUUUUAGUUUGUGUUUGAUGGACUGUCACAUGAAACACUUAACUUUACCUUCAAGAAGUAUUGUUAAUGAUUUUUAAGAGGGGAAAAAAAAAGAAAGAAAAGAAAAGAAAAGAAAAGAAUGAUAAACUAAUCAACAGAAGACAUUUCAAGUAUCAUCACAAACAAUUACAUAUAAAGCCAUCACAAGAUUUUGCACACCACAUGAAAACCACUCCAUGGAUGGCAUAAGAGCUCACAAGUGAUGUCCAAAUAGCCUUAAUUUGAUGCAAAAUGCAGUGCAUUUGAAAUAAUCGUUCUUUAAGAAAAUGGUGCAGUAUCAUUUAUUUACACAUGAUCACUGUUCUAAUAUACAAUUGUUAGGCAAUGGUGUACACAAACAACAACAACAACAACUCAAUGCUAGAUUCAAACUACAAAUCACAACAAACAUUUUGAAUAAAACCCCACCUGAAAAAUAUUCCAAAAUUGAUGUGGAGACAAUUCACAUACAUGAAGUAAGCAUCAGAGCAGACCAACAAGUCCACAAGGCACCAUGCAAACACACAAAAGAUGGUAGCAGUCGGAAAUAGGGAUAGACCCUGUGGCCGAGGGAUUCAGGACCCUAUAACCAGUAUUUCUCUCACACCCAGUUUCACUGAGACCAAAAUGGGCGGCAAUGCUUCAAUAAUUCCCCCUUCCUGGUUAUAAGGGACAAGUCAACACUAAGAGUAAUAAACCAGGACUGCCACUUCACCCGAGUUGUUGUUUUAUGGCCAUUGCUGGAGACCCCAGUAACAAAACAACAGAAGAUCCAUCUAAAACAAACCAAUGACGCAGCAGAAAACGAGCUCCAAAUAAAAUAGAAUAAAAUAAAAAUGGGGAGGGAAGAAAA
rnacentral:lncRNA from 1 species